rnacentral:lncRNA from 1 species
GGGGAUAUCGAUUGGGCCACACAUGUACAAACGUAGCCGGGUGUUUUAACAACGUAUUGCACAAUGCUCAAUUAUUACCAAUAACAGCAUGCGUACGUACGGUUCACUUUUAACCAAACAGUUGAACUUUUCUCUUCGAAGCGGAAAUUGACCUUCAACACGGCAUACAUUUUUUCCAAAGAAAUAUGAAAGAAAUUCUUGAAAAAUGAGUGAAAAGCAAGGACACACUCAAUAGAAGUAUAUGAUCACAAAGGCAGAAUUUACUACAUUACCAUUGGUCAACGCGAUAAUAGAAAGGGUGGCAACGCACUGAUUAUUAAGUUUGGGAAUGGCACAUGUACGUGUAGUAAGUGGACUGAAUUCAGAUUUCCAUGCUAGCAUAUAUUUGCAGGUUGUUAUCGAUCAAGCAUUAAUCCAUACUAUCUAGUUGGUCACGUACAAAUAAUAUCAGCCUGGCAAACUUCACUUCAAAGACAGUUCCAACCACUGCCAGGCACGGCUUAUUGGGUCCCUUCCGAGUUUCAACUUAACUAUGAUGAAGGAAGAAUUAAACAAAAGAGAUUUUGCCCUAAAUCCAUAGUUAGAAUACAUAAUCAGAUGGAUCUUUAAUACCCC